CAGUCGCCGCGGUAAUACAUAGGGUGCGAGCGUUAAUCGGAAUUACUGGGCGUAAAGCGGGCGCAGACGGUUACUUAAGCAGGAUGUGAAAUCCCCGGGCUCAACCUGGGAAUUGCGUUCUGAACUGGGUGGCUAGAGUGUGUCAGAGGGGGGUAGAAUUCCACGUGUAGCAGUAAAAUGCGUAGAGAUGUGGAGGAAUACCGAUGGCGAAGGCAGCCCCCUGGGAUAGCACUGACGUUCAUGCCCGAAAGCGUGGGUAGCAAACAGGAUUAGAGACCCCAGUAGUCCCUGUCUCUUAUAC
rnacentral:rRNA from 1 species